CCCCGCUGACGAGCGGCGGACGGGUGAGUAAUGCUUAGGAAUCUGCCCAGUAGAGGGGGAUAGCCCGGGGAAACCCGGAUUAAUACCGCAUACGCCCUACGGGGGAAAGCAGGGGAUCUUCGGACCUUGCGCUAUUGGAUGAGCCUAAGUCGGAUUAGCUAGUUGGUGGGGUAAAGGCCUACCAAGGCGACGAUCCGUAGCUGGUCUGAGAGGAUGAUCAGCCACAUCGGGACUGAGACACGGCCCGAACUCCUACGGGAGGCAGCAGUGGGGAAUAUUGGACAAUGGGGGCAACCCUGAUCCAGCCAUGCCGCGUGUGUGAAGAAGGCUUUCGGGUUGUAAAGCACUUUCAGUGAGGAGGAAGGCUCAAAGGUUAAUACCCUUUGGGAUUGACGUUACUCACAGAAGAAGCACCGGCUAACUCCGUGCCAGCAGCCGCGGUAAUACGGAGGGUGCAAGCGUUAAUCGGAAUUACUGGGCGUAAAGCGCGCGUAGGUGGUUUGAUAAGCGAGAUGUGAAAGCCCCGGGCUUAACCUGGGAACGGCAUUUCGAACUGUCAGGCUAGAGUGUGGUAGAGGGUAGUGGAAUUUCCUGUGUAG
rnacentral:rRNA from 1 species